CGACGUUAGCUGCAGAAGAAGCACCGGCUAAACUCCGUGCCAGCAGCCGCGGUAAUACGGAGGGUGCGAGCGUUAAUCGGAAUUACUGGGCGUAAAGCGCAUGCAGGUGGUUUGUUAAGUCAGAUGUGAAAGCCCGGGGCUCAACCUCGGAAUUGCAUUUGAAACUGGCAAACUAGAGUACUGUAGAGGGGGUAGAAUUUCAGGUGUAGCGGUGAAAUGCGUAGAGAUCUGAAGGAAUACCGGUGGCGAAGGCGGCCCCCUGGACAGAUACUGACACUCAGAUUCGCGAAAGCGUGGGGAGCAAACAGGAUUAGAUACCCUGGUAG
rnacentral:rRNA from 1 species